UGAAAAAGAAAAAUCCAGACAUGAGUUUUGUGGAUGGAGCCAUGAGCAGCACAUAUGCUCUACGAAGACCAGUGUCUGAAAGGAAGAAGAAAUGGGCUGCUCUUUUUUGUGAAAGACAGAUCAGUGCAGAAUUCAACAGCCUAGUGACACUGGAUCUGAGCAAGUCUUUCUAUGAGGGUAUAGACCGCCAUCUACCAAAGCUGCUGUGUCUGUACCGUUCAAAGUGCUGUAUGGAAUUGUAGAAAUCAGGGCCAUAAUGGACAGCCUAGAUAAAAAUAACACAGAUUCGGAAGAAGUGAUGACCAGAGGCAUGACUCUUGGAAUCCUCACAGUGGUGGAAGAUGUGACAGACCCCCUUCCUUGCAGCUUGUGUGAUGUGGCCCUUUCAAUUGAGGAAGCAGUUGUUCUGAGAAUGCCUAUGUGAACAUGAUGGGGUUGUUGUAUGCUGUCAACAUAAACUACCCAAAAACCUCAGAUACACCUUUGAGGUAAUUCAGAGGCCACUGAUGAACGUCAGCGCUGAAACUUGUACUUCAAGAGUGCACUCCCUUAAAAAUGCAUUGUCUUAUUAAUUUAUUCCAAGAAUCUGUUUAAAUUUUACUCAGAAAUUCUUUAAGUUUUCAAUUGUUUUAAGUUACUUCGAAGUUAAAGUGGUUUUAUAAAUGUGUAAAAUCUUAGUGUUAGUUCACCCAAAAUCAUGUUUUUGUGGACUAACACUUUUCAUGUGUGUUCAAAUAGUUUUUUUACUUUUCAGUAUUUCUAUAUUCUAUGUAUAUAUAUAUAUAUAUAUAUAUAUAUAUACUGAUAUAUAUAUAUAUAUAUAUUUAUAUCCCUUACAGAAAAGACACAUGUGAAAUGUGUGUUUUUGGAACAUUUGGGUGUGAAUUCCCAUGUGAAACACAUAUGAUUACAGGUAAAAACCCAUGGGAUGACAUGUGCGACAUGUGGUGAUAUGUCUCCACAUGUGAACACAUGUUCUUCACAUGACAACCUGUUUUUCACAUUUCAUCCCAUGGAUUUUUAAAUGUUAUCAUAUGUGUUUCACUCAGGAAUUCACAUGGGAUUCACACCCAUAUGUUCAAAAAACACACAUUUGACAUGUGUUUUUUUGCACAUGUUAAACACAUGUGGUAAGCAUAUGAUCACAUGUGAAAUUCAUGUGUCUUUUCUGUAAGGAUAUGUGUAUUUAUGCAUGAGUUUUACUCAGAAUUAUUGAAGUGGAGAUGUCAUUUUGUGUAGGAGAUACUUUAAAUGUGAGAUGGUGGUCUAGUGGGUUAAACCACUGAACUGGUAAAUCAAAAGGUUGCUGGUUCGAUCCCAACAGCCACCACCAGUGUGUCCUUGAGCAAGACACUUUACUCCAUGUUGUUCCAGGGGGAUUGUCCCUGUAAUAUGUGCACUGUAAGUCGCUUUGGAUAAAAGCGUCUGCAAAAUGACUAAAUGUAAAUGUAAAUGUGACACAUAAUGUUAUAUUUCAUUUUUGUCAUGAGAAUCUACUUUUUGAGUUUUCUC